rnacentral:rRNA from 1 species
UGGUGGAGUGAUUUGUCUGGUUAAUUCCGAUAACGAACGAGACUCUAGCCUACUAAAUAGUGAGCAGAUCGCCAUGUCUGUCGCACUUCUUAGAGGGACAAGCGGCGUUUAGCCGCACGAAAUUGAGCAAUAACA